rnacentral:rRNA from 1 species
UACGAAGGGGGCUAGCGUUGCUCGGAAUCACUGGGCGUAAAGGGUGCGUAGGCGGGUUUUUAAGUCAGGGGGGAAAUCCCGAGGCUCAACCUCGGAACUGCCUUUGAUACUGGCGAGCUUGAGUCCGGGAGAGGUGAGUGGAACUGCGAGUGUAGAGGUGAAAUUCGUAGAUAUUCGCAAGAACACCAGUGGCGAAGGCGGCUCACUGGCCCGGUACUGACGCUGAGGUGCGAAAGCGUGGGGAGCAAACAGG